AUGUCAAAUCAUCAUGCCCUUUAUGUCCUGGGCUACACACGUACUACAAUGGCCGUAACAGAGGGAAGCAAGACAGUGAUGUGGAGCAAAACCCAAAAAGCGGUCACAGUUCGGAUUGAAGGCUGAAAUUCGCCUUCAUGAAGCCGGAAUUGCUAGUAAUUGCAGGUCAGCAUACUGCAGUGAAUACGUUCCCGGGCCUU
rnacentral:rRNA from 1 species